CUGAAAUGGACUUAUUUUUCUCCAGUCUGCUUUUAUACCAUUCUAAGUACAUGCAAAGAAUAAGGUCAUUUCUAGGUCAAGAGACAAACAAGGCAAUAAACCUCAUCCCGUGGAUUUCGGGGACUUACCAAAAUGAUCAAGAUAUCGAGCCGACUUCCUUGUUCUAUCCCAAUAUCAAAUUCCUACCUGAGCCUACUUCCCUGUCCUGGCCCAAUGUCAAAUUCCUGCCAAAUUUCUAGAAGUGACCCCAAGAGCUCUCCACAUCGGGAUGAAUCCAGGCUUUAUUGCCUGCAAUCUACCCCACUAGCAAAACACCAAACACAAGUAAGCAGCAGUAGCUCAAUCCAGAAGAAACCAUGAGGCCCCCACUGAUCGGCAUGAGUCUGCUAAUGCAGCAGCCAGAGCACCACUGGAAGUUCUUUGGUGUGGUUCUUGCUACAAAGUCACAGCAAGCAAAGAUCUGAGGAUAAAGUGAGGCACACCAAUGCCACAGCGUCAUCAGCAAAGCCCAGCAAGGCGAGCCAAUGCCAGAGUGUUGGCCACUGUCUGGUGCAUUAUACUCUUUCCAAACAUGUGUCCUCUCAAGCAAACCAGCAAAACAUCACAUGCCCUUUCACCAGACAUCUUGCAGAAAAAACACCGGAUGUCUGUUCUCCACAAAACUUCCUCUCGCAUAUCUGCUUCAGCAAAACAUCCUCUCCAUAAGAUGGCUUCCUGAAAAACAUCACAUGACACCACUGAGCCCCCCAACGAAACCGGAAAUCCCCAUUUCACGUGUGUGCUGCAGAGGGCUGAGCUGUAGAAACCACCCCAAGCCCUCUGGAGGAUUGUGAGUGAGCUCCAGACAUUGGAUAUUAUUUGUAAGGUUGGAGAUUGGUUUUGUUUUUAUUUGACUGGCUCUCCCUCUUGAAAUAAGAAAGUAUUUCAUUUAUUUUUUUUAUUUUACAGGAGGCCACAGUUGAAAAACUGAAUACUAUAAAUGAUUUUCAGGUUUUAAAGAGAAAUUCCCGAUUUUU
rnacentral:lncRNA from 1 species